UACGGGGGGGGCAAGCGUUGUUCGGAAUUACUGGGCGUAAAGGGCUCGUAGGCGGCCAACUAAGUCAGACGUGAAAUCCCUCGGCUUAACCGGGGAACUGCGUCUGAUACUGGAUGGCUAGAGGUUGGGAGAGGGAUGCGGAAUUCCAGGUGUAGCGGUGAAAUGCGUAGAUAUCUGGAGGAACACCGGUGGCGAAGGCGGCAUCCUGGACCAAUCCUGACGCUGAGGAGCGAAAGCCAGGGGAGCAAACGGG
rnacentral:rRNA from 1 species